rnacentral:misc_RNA from 1 species
CCAUCAAUCGGCGGUUUUGGUUUAGCGUCUGGAGGAGAGUGGUAUUCGUGGCAGUGUUUGCGUGUGUGCUGUAAAAUAGUUAAAUAUAACGAUGAGUGCUACGAGUGACCCUGUACGAGAGCGUCGACUGAAUAAUGCCGAGGCUAUGCGACGAAGGCGUGCAGUCGAAACAGACGCGCAAAGGCGGCGCCGUUUGGCAGCUGUAGCAGAGAGAAGGACGCGUCGGCAGCGCGCAGUCGAACCGUACGAGGAGCAGCAAGUGCGUUUGGCCGGCGCAGCUAAAGCGAGGCGUCGGAAGCGUAAAGCGGAGUCUCGUAAAGAACGACAACAUCGUUUAGCCGCUGAUGCCGAAGUGAAGCGGCAAGAGGAGGCGACGAGGCGGGAAGCAGAACGUGCGGUGGAAGCGGUGCGGAUGCGCUGGGAGCAGCUGUUACUGACGGUCAAGAAUAGACAAGAGCAGCAGCACAGAGCCGACGCCGAGCUGAGACCCCGAAGAGGUUGCUCUCCUCCACGGCCCAAACAUUGCAUGUCGUUGCAGUUUGAGCAUUGGGACCCCGUAGUCGCUAUUGCCUGCAACGAACAGCGCCUCGCUCUGCAAGUGUUGCUUGCUGCCAGGGACCGACCAACAGGCUUCUGCGUUUCUGCUGGGCUGUUGUGCGACAACCAGGAACACUGUGGGACAUCCGUGUCCGUCGGCGAGCAUUCCGAAGCCGAUGAGCAGGCAAACUCCUGGGACGGUGUCAACACUGCAGCGACCGUCACGAGUGGAUACGGCAUCUCCCAUAGCAGCAAGGUUAUGAGGCAGAAUGUUGCCAACUGGCGUACGCACAAGUCAGUGGCUGCAGGAUCCACCACAGUAAUGCAAGGAGACGCUGCCGCACAAUGCGACCGGAGAGCAGAUGUUGCUGUCCAGUCCACAUGGUGUAAGGAGGGCGUGUCCAAAUCAACACAGGCUGAGUUAUUCACUCUGAAGGUCUCCAGGUGGACGCAGUCCAAUGAUCUCGAAGAAAGCUACAGUACCUCUCCACUGCUGGAACAGCCAAGCAAAGGUGCACCCUCAUAGCAUUUUAAUAGUAUUAUCACCAUUAUAAAUGACUAAUUUAAAGGAACACUAAAGAUGAAUGAUAAAUUAAGGCGGGUUUUCGAUAUCGCAUAUCUGCAAUGCCUCAAACACAAGUCAAACACAAGUAUGGUAAGACUGAGACAUGGGCUUGAAGUUCUCAAACUAGCUUCUUGUGACAUCAUUAGUAGGAAUAGAAUAUUCCAUGCUAUUUGAUUUGAGAAUUCCCUGUUUGAAGUUGUUAAAUAUUCCUUUCUGUUCAGACGUAAGGGGUAAGUAGCGACACUCGUUGGAAUCUCGAGGGAGGGAGGUCAAUGGACAUGGGAGCGGUUCCAAAUGAUUCUUCACCAGGAGAGCCACUCUUGUGCAGGUGCAUCAGUUCCUGAGCAAACGCACGGGGUCACUAACUUGUGCUCAGUAAUUCCUAGUGAUCCAAUAAGAAUGGCUCUCUUUUAGGCAGCCUACAUAUUGUUGCACAUACGUGUGAGAAAAACGAAGACCAGUGAGCUGAGCAGUUGCAUCCCACCAUUAGACUUGGCUCAUCUGUUUGUAGUAGACGAGCCACUCGUCGGCAUCUUCUCCCAUUUUUCCUCCGAAGGUGGAUGGCACUCGGUAGUACUGCAGUGGACUGUUAAAUGCUGCCCUCGAAGCAGCUCCUUCUAAGGGCAUGUCGAAGAUGGUCACGGCAGAUGGUGGAAGGCCGGCAAGUCGACUGCUUCGACGAAGCUGCAGCAAUGAUGAUUCCGCUGCUGUAAGUGCUUUCCCAGCACUUCUACCACUUUUUUACGUGCAAAAAUGACCGUUUAUCACCCUUGCGACUUAAGGGGGCUGUUUAUGUUAGGUCGCGAAGGUGAGCUCAAGAGCGGCCAGCUGGUUGAAGAUCUACAUGUUAUCCUCCUAUUCUUUCCCCACCCGGGACCACAAGCAUGCUUGCCAGUCUUCGUUUUGCUCACACGUAUGUGCAACAACAUAAGUAUGUUUCGAUAUAGGCAAAGCAAAUUAUUGUUUGACCAGUCUUGCCAUAUUCGCAUCACUUUAAAACAGUGCAUAGUGAUAGAGUAUCACACUUCUCUCCUUAAACAAGACCAACACUGUGUGUAUGUGUACAAAUUUGUCAAAAGCGUGCAGCCUAUUCUGCGCCUUCACCAUUUAUGCCAUUCAGCUGUGUGGUGUGGUUUUUGUAUAGUUUACUACAGACACCCUGGACUUAUGGAUGGUAAUUGCAAGGACUCUCAUUCCCAAAAGUAUCGAAACUUAUGCCACACUACAGGAAAACCCUUGCAGAGCCUGUAGUCAGUCUGGCAGUUGCAGUCAACAUAGCCUAUACACUUUUGAUAAAGACUGUAGGUCUGAUGACGUGCUGUUUCCAUGUUUCACUAAACAUUUUCGCAUUGCGCCAGGCAACUGAAAGUAGGUCUUUCUUAUUCACGAGCUCCUCAAUUGAUCGAAUAUCCAGUUGUUAAUGGCAUUACAUACAUCUAUGAAAUAUUCUAUAUUCGAAGGUCAUAUUUCUUGAAUAUUCAUAUUCAGAACAGAAAUUUCACAACUUGAACACUGAUAAUCAUGAGAUAUUUGACAGCAUGUGCUCAGCAUUAAUGUUUUAUGAAUGACCAGAUAUUAUGCUGCGUAUUAAAGGAACUGAAGACUUAACAUAGUGAGUUUUGAGGGCCUUUUCUGAACAAUAAUGAGUGCUACUUAUAAAAUGUGUGAUGGCUUAUAAUGCAUGCUGGUGCAGCAGUUAUAGCAUAAAAUUAAAAUGGAAACUUUGCCCUUCGACUUCUUCAGUGAUCAUAAUCUGCCAAGUAAAUGCAUAUCAAGUCUGGAAGGAAUGCUUCGCUGUUAAAAGCUUAGCUUAUCUUAGUGCCCCUUUCAUUUCAUCUCAUAAUGAAAACCUUUGUCUUCGGUAACUGCCUAACUGCACUUUCAGUUGUCCAGUUCUUUCUGCACAGCACAGAACACUGGAGACGCAGGAAAUGUAAAAUGCAUGCAAGUAUGUGUCUUAUUUCAUCUGCGUCACACACUUUUAUUUUGUGUUCAUGUGUGCGCUAGAACAGUAAAACAAAACAAAAAUGGAAACCACAGCAACCAGCACAAUCUUAAACAUUGCAUCCUUGGCCUAGAUAUUUCCCAGUCUCAUUUCCCCAUCUGAUCUUCUGCUGCCCUCGACUGCGUUUCUCGUCCCUUUGAAUGCAGAAUAUAUUUUAGACCAACAUUGCUUUGAUGCACUACUUCCUCAGGGUAGCAUGACAUGGGAAGAAGACGUGGCAGCAUCUGCAGGCAGAUAUGGGUUUUCAAAAUUUAAGUGUUAACAAUUCAAGCGACUGUUUCAAAUUAGAUAGUGACAUUCAGAAUAACUUAGCGUAGUGCCUUGGUAUGCUACCUUGGUUUGCACAUUUUUGCCAGUAUGAUUUUUACCAGCUUUCAUAGCAGAUGUUGAGAGCACCAUUGCAGUGUAGCAUACUUUACAUUCUCUUUCAGCAAUGCCUUUAGUCCUGAGCAACUCAAGGAGAAGCGACCAUGGAGUCCUGCAAGAAGCAAAUGUUGAUGGUGUCAUAGAAGGUGACAGCAGAUUCAGUGCGGACACUGGUGCAGCUCGCAGUGAAGAGAGAGCAAGCUCUCUCACAGUUAAUGCAGGGUCACCAUUUGUUGCCUAUAGCUGCAGACUUUGCUCACUCAAGUUCAGCGAGCUGGACGCCUUGGCCUCCCACGUAAAGACGUGCCCGUGGCCAGAGCCAUUCCAGUGCAGCCUGUGUUUGCAGACGUGUUUGGACUGGAGUGCGACCCGGCGUCACCUUGCUUCUCACAUCAACAGAGCCACACCAAAGUGCCCGUUUUGUGAGCAGAGCCUUGAUUGUAGGAGCUGGACCAUCAUGAGGCACAUGCAGCGGCACCACGUGCAUGUCAAGGCGUUCAUGUGCAACUUCUGCUGGGGCACAUUUGUGAUGAAGCAGGACAUUCUCACACAUACCCGUCGGUGUCGUGCAAGGGUGAUCGAGCUCGACAAGUGCUUGAGCUCAACCAAAAAAUGCAACUCACAGGCUCACAUUUACCCACACUUGUACAAGUGUUCCAUUUGCUUGGUCACAUUUGCAGAUGUCUCAGCAGUGGCGAGUCACAUGCAAGUUCACGUGAAUGAAAUGCAACACAGUCAAGCAGAUAGAGUUAUAGAGAAGGAUCCCUCUGAUUGCAGUGGGCAGCAGUCAGUGGCAACAGGAUCCACCAAAGUCAUGCAAGGAGAUGCAUCUACACAGUGUGACUUUAGAACAGACAUUGCUGUCAAAUCCAUGUUGGCCGAUGGCAUCUCUAAAGCGACAGAAGCUGAAUUGUGCACUCCAAAGAUAUCCAAGUGGACACAGUCCGAAGAUCUGAAAGUCUGCAAUGACGAGUCCUCAUUGCUGGAACUGACACUGCCAAACGAAGGAAUGCCUCUGGUGCUGAGAAAUUCAAGGAGGACCAGCAGUGGAAUGCUGGAACACUCAGAACUUGAUUAUGUCGCAGGAGGUGACUGUGUACUCAAAGUGACAACCAACCCACCUUGCAGUGAAGAGAGACAAGGCUCUGCCACAGUCAAUGCAGGGUCAGUAGUCACCGCCUAUGCCUGUGGACUUUGCUCAAGAAAGUUCCAGGGCCUGGAUUCUUUGACUUGCCAUGUACUGACAUGCCUAUGGCCGGAGCCUUUCCAGUGCAGCCUGUGCUCACGGAGAUGUGUGAACUGGAGCGUAGCGCGGGACCACCUUCUCACUUCUCACGUGAACAGAGCCACAGCAAAGUGCCAAUUCUGCAAGCAACCUCUUAAUCUCAGGACGGAUUGCAUCGUGACGCACAUGCUGCGGCUGCACGUGGGCGUGAAGCUGUUCAUGUGCAAUUUGUGCAAGGCCACUUUUUACGGCAGGCACAGCUUGCUUCUGCACCUUCGUCGACGGCACGAAUGCGGGAUGACGCACGAGUGCGAUUGGUGUGCGAGCUCGUUUGCCGACAAACGUGAUUUGCAGGCCCACAUUCUCCAGCACUUGAGUGCGUGGCCGUACAAGUGUCAUAUUUGCCUGGCCACAUUUGUGGAGAAGUCGGACAUUGCUAGUCACAUGCGUGAUCACAAAAAUGGGAGGUGUUAGUGUGCCUUGCAGUUUUGCAAGAUUCCCCAAUGAGCUAGGUGGCUGCUGGCCUCGCACGUUUCGAAUGCUUGGAGCUUGUGGCAAGCUUCCAGGUGUGUGAACAGCCUGCAGGCUUGUGUACUUUCAGCUCUCUCGUAUGUGGUGUAGUGGCACCUUGUGAAACCAUGUGAAUGUCAUUAAAAAGAAGCUUUACCACAGGUCCUACUCCAGUUUCCCUACUCAAAUACAUGCAAAGCAGAGCCGUGCUCUUGUUAGACAACUCCGUAGCAGCAUCAAAUGCAGAUAAUGCAGUUCUGUAGAUUGCAUCUGUUAGAGCACCUCAAGUGGACAGAUGUGAUCUGCAAGUUUGCAUGAAAUUGUUGCAAUGUUAACAAGGGUUUCAUAGAAGUCCUACUCACAAAUCACUGGCAUGUAUCACAGAAUGGUGUAUGUAUAACGUAAUUACUAGUGUAAUACCUCCACUUCUCCUUUCAGAUUUAUUUUAGGGUGCCCGCUUUACAUAAGCCUGCCUCGUGUAAGGUGGGCUUACAACUACUCACUGAAUCCUUGAACUGUACUCAGAGUGCUAUGCAAAAAAUUUGGAGGACGCUUAAGCAUGACCUUUAACAGUGGAAUGCGAUAGCAUUCAGAGAUCCCCCAACUACUUCUCACACUUCGUGGCAACUACACCUUAUGUAACCAUUGUAAUAUUUUCCUGGAAACGCUGGUAGUGAACGCUAUGCAUGAAGGCGAGCGUUUUGGUUCAGUCUGGAUGGUGUAGCAAGGAACCGAGCAGGGCGUGCCACUCCUACUAAGAAAGACCUCAAACGGCAGCUGGAGAAGGGGCUUGUGUUUGAGUUUCUACGCAACAGAAUUAUGUUUUCUUGUAUAGUAAAAUAACAAUCCGACACUAUCAUGUCUGGCAGUUGUGUGUGAGUCGUACUUUAUGAAUUAUGCACCACGCGGAGGGCCUGCGUGGACUGGAAUGCGUGGUUCGAGAUGAUUUUUCUCACACGGACAACGUCGCUGGUGCCUUUAAUUCUUUAAUGAC